UACAGUAUUUAUGUAUUACUAAGUUGUAAAUUUUUAAUUAUAGAAGUCUUCAAAUUUACCAACAGCAGGGUGUCACCCACAGCCAACUUUUAGAAGAACAGAAAACCGAAAGCGGAAGUAGCUGUUAUGGGGGACCACUGAGAUUUAAGAAUACUUGCAUUUUAUUUAUACAGUGCAAACAGAAUGUUUUGAACGAGCGCCUGGAUUCCCGUGUGGAUGACAUGAUUAAAAUGGGACUGAUCGAGGAAAUUCAGGGUUUUUACAAAGACUACAGAAAUUAUACUACAUCCAAUAACAUUCUGCCGGAUUACACUUACGGCAUCUUCCAGUCAAUAGGAUUUAAAGAAUUCCACAAGUAUCUAAUGCUUCCUGAUGAUGAGAAAGAAACAGAAGCUGGAAAGAAAUUAUUUGCAGAAGGU